rnacentral:rRNA from 1 species
AUACGGAGGAUCCGAGCGUUAUACGGAUUUAUUGGGUUUAAAGGGUGCGCAGGCGGGAGAUUAAGUCGGCGGUGAAAUUUUGCCGCUCAACUGUAAAAGUGCCUUCCAAACUUGUUUCCUUUAGUGUAGAUGAAGUAGGCGGAAUUUGUGGGGUAGGGGUGAAAUGCAUAGAUAUCACGAGGAACUCCGAUUGCGCAGGCAGCUUACUAAACUACUACUGACGCUCAGGCACGAAGGCGUGGGGAUCAAACAGGAUUAGAUACCCUGGUAGUCCACGCAGUAAACGAUGAUUACUAGCUGUUUGCGAUACAAUGUAAGCGGCUGAGCGAAAGCGUUAAGUAAUCCACCUGGGGAGUACGUUCGCAAGAAUGAAACUCAAAGGAAUUGACGGGG